rnacentral:rRNA from 1 species
CCUACGGGCGGCUGCAGUGAGGAAUAUUGGUCAAUGGACGAGAGUCUGAACCAGCCAAGUAGCGUGAAGGAUGACUGCCCUAUGGGUUGUAAACUUCUUUUAUAUGGGAAUAAAACGUUCCACGUGUGGGAUUUUGUAUGUACCAUCUGAAUAAGGAUCGGCUAACUCCGUGCCAGCAGCCGCGGUAAUACGGAGGAUCCGAGCGUUAUCCGGAUUUAUUGGGUGUAAAGGGAGCGUAGGUGGAUUGUUAAGUCAGUUGUGAAAGUUUGCGGCUCAACCGUAAAAUUGCAGUUGAAACUGGCAGUCUUGAGUACAGUAGAGGUGGGCGGAAUUCGUGGUGUAGCGGUGAAAUGCUUAGAUAUCACGAAGAACUCCGAUUGCGAAGGCAGUUCACUGGACUGCAACUGACACUGAGGCUCGAAAGUGUGGGUAUCAAACAGGAUUAGAUACCCUAGUAGUC